rnacentral:rRNA from 1 species
GGCGGCGUGCUUAAUACAUGCAAGUCAACUUGACUUUAGAUAGCAAUAUCGAAAAGUAGGGUGGCGCACGGGUGCGUAACGCGUAGGUAAUCUGCCCUGAGGUCUGACAUAACCCGUCGAAAGGCGGGCUAACAUCAGAUGAUAUAUAAUCACGACAUCGUGGAAAAUAUCAAAUCUUCGGAGCCUUGGGAUGAGCCUGCGUCUGAUUAGGUAGUUGGCGGAGUAAUAGCCCACCAAGCCUACGAUCAGUAGCUGGUCUGAGAGGAUGAUCAGCCACACUGGAACUGAGACACGGUCCAGACUCCUACGGGAGGCAGCAGUAAGGAAUAUUGCUCAAUGGGGGUAACCCUGAAGCAGCAACGCCGCGUGAAGGAUGAAAUACUUUGUAUGUAAACUUCUGUAAGAUGGGAAAAAUAUUCUCCUCGGGAGAAUUGAUUGUACCAUCAGAGUAAGCCCCGGCUAACUACGUG